rnacentral:rRNA from 1 species
AUUGAACGCUGGCGGCAGGCCUAACACAUGCAAGUCGAGCGGAUGAAGGGAGCUUGCUCCUGGAUUCAGCGGCGGACGGGUGAGUAAUGCCUAGGAAUCUGCCUGGUAGUGGGGGAUAACGUCCGGAAACGGGCGCUAAUACCGCAUACGUCCUGAGGGAGAAAGUGGGGGAUCUUCGGACCUCACGCUAUCAGAUGAGCCUAGGUCGGAUUAGCUAGUUGGUGGGGUAAAGGCCUACCAAGGCGACGAUCCGUAACUGGUCUGAGAGGAUGAUCAGUCACACUGGAACUGAGACACGGUCCAGACUCCUACGGGGGGCAGCAGUGGGAAAUAUUGGACGAUGGGCGAAAGCCUGAUCCAGCCAUGCCGCGUGUGUGAAGAAGGUCUUCGGAUUGUAAAGCACUUUAAGUUGGGAGGAAGGGAAGUAAGUUAAUACCUUGCUGUUUUGACGUUACCAACAGAAUAAGCACCGGCUAACUUCG